rnacentral:lncRNA from 1 species
UGGACAUAGGGAACCAGUAGCAAUGUAAAGGAGGAACAUCUAACUGUCUAACCUCCACACUGUGCCACAAAUUCCAUGGAUUUGUAUGGCGACCAGACCAUCUGCCAGCUGAUUACCACUUGGUGAACCCAGUCAGCACCACAUGGAGCAGAAGAAUCGACUAGUUGAGCCUUGCCUGAAUUUCUGGUCCACAGUGAUAUGGUUUGGCUGUGUCCCCACCCAAAUCUCAUUUGAACUGUAGUUCCCAUAAACUCCAUGUGUUGUGGGAGAGACCUAGUGGGAGAUAAUUGAAUCAUGGGGGCAGUUAUCCUGUUCUCAUGCUGUUCUCAUGACAGUGAGUGAGUUCUCAUGAGAUCUGAUGGUUUUAUAAGGGGCUUUUCCUCCCCUUUGCUCAUACUUCUCCUUACGUUGCCAUGUGAAGAAGGACAUGUUUGCUUCCCCUUCUGCCAUGAUUGUAAGUUUCCUGGGGAAAUGAUUCUGCAUUUCCCCAGCCAUGCAGAACUGUG